AUACCAUGUUGUGAUCCAAUAUAAUUAAUAAAAAAAAAAAAAAAAUCUGUUCUUAUCAGUUUAAUGUCUGAUACGUCUCCUACCCGGGGACUAUACGUUAAAUGGAUUUUUGACCUUCGGAAAUGGAAGCGGAGCUUGCUCCUUCCACUCCAUGCAUCGACGUGGUAUUGCAGUGUUUCCAUGAACGGUGCGCUCCCC